UCCAGGACCCCGGGAUCGUGACCUGAGCCGAAGGCAGAUGUUUAACCAACUGAGCCACCCAGUCCCGCGUUAUGAGAGACAGUAUCCUGGAUGAGGGCAAAAACCCCACUGGUCAGAGGACAGCCCACCAGGCUCAUCACUUGUGUGCCAAGAGAGAGACAGAGGCGGGGAGAGGGAGAAGCAGACUCCCCACUGAGCAGGGAGCCCGAUGCGGGGCUCGAUCCCAGGACCCUGGGAUCACGACCAGAGCUGAAGGCGGACGCUUAACUGACUGAGCCACCCAGGAGCCCCAGUGUCUAGCUUAUAAGUGAUGAUACUGCACCAGAAUUCAGACUUCACAAAAGUGACGAUGAACCUAGAAAAUACUGAAGCAUACAACAAUACCCACUGUAUGGAACCUUUCUGAUGCUGGGGACUGGGGAAAAGGCUCCUUCCCACAAGCAGGAAGGGCUGUCUUCCUGUAAGGCCGAGCUUGGGAGCUCCCAAAUUUUGGGCCAGGAAGAUAACCAAACCUUCUGGAAACCAGCUUUUUAUUUUGCCACAUAAGGACUUUAAAAAUAAAACAUAUUAAAAAAACCCCACCCCUCAACAUUUACUUGGAGAUUCAUUAUGCCAUAGUGAAUAGGAGAUCUGAUAAAAAAAAAAAAAAGUUACUCUGACCUCAGAAUAGAUCGAUUUACAUUUAGCUUUGUUAGAAACUCAAUACACUCCUCUUAUUCUCUCUAUUCUCAUCGGCUAGUGAAACUUUGUUGAGGGCCUGCAGUGAGGGCCCGCUUCAUGGGUGUGUCCUCUGUGGUGUCGCCCAGGGCCCCAUGUCAGGAAGAGCCCAAGUGUGGGGCUUAGUGAUCCGUGGU